GCAAUAGCUGAUUGCAUUUAAUUUAAUGUAGUUACUACUUGGUACUUUAAAUUUCAAGGUAGAAUUAUGAUGAUGACAUUAUCUAUCUAAUAGUCUUGACCAAAUUACGUGCCAGCUGUCGCGGUAAUACGUAGAAGACAAGUGUUAUUCAUCUUUAUUAGGUUUAAAGAGUACCAAGACGGUUAAUAAAGCCCAAAAGAAAUGAAUACGGGGGACACAUUAACUAGAGUUAUAUGAAAGGAAGCUCUAAGGUACUGUUGAGUGUAGAGAUGAAAUUUAAUGAUACCAGAUGAUUGGCACAGAUUUAUGCGAAGGCAUCUUCUUAUGUAAUAACUGACGUUGUAGGACGAAGGCUUAGGUAAUGAACAGGAUUAGGUACCCCAGUAAUCUAGGCAGAAAAUGAUGAAUGUCAUAGGUUCAAUUGUGUCUAUAAAUGAAAGUGUAAGCAUUCCACCUCAAGAGUAAUUUGGCAACAUUGGAACUGAAAUCAUUAGACCGUUUCUGAAACCAGUAGUGAAGUAUGUUGUUUAAUUAGAUGAUACACAAAAACCUUACCNCAAUUUGAAUAUAUAUAAAAUAUAUUUACAAGCGCUGCACGGCUGUCUACAGUUAAUGUCGUGAGACUUUGGUUAGCUCCAUUAAAUUGACGUAAACCCAAAUUU
rnacentral:rRNA from 1 species